rnacentral:rRNA from 1 species
AUGCAGUCGCCAACAGCAACAACUGGUCCGCGCGGACUCGAUCGGUCGGGCUGCAGCGGCAGAAGUAGGUGGCGGGCGAAGGCAGCGGCAGGUGGCAGACGGACGGCAGCGGCAGCAACAGGAUCCCGCCACCGGGGAAGACCCGCGUGGCCCUGCCUGACAAAGUCAGGGAGAGGGGAGCGGCGGCUGGGGUUGCUGCAGGCACGAGGAACCUGCGCCGGCGAGGAGAGCGACGACGAGGAGGCGCCCGUCGAGGAGGAUGCCGCCUUGGAGGAGCAGCUACAGUCGGGGUCGGGCUCCUCGGAGGAGCAGCCGCAGUCGGGGUCGGGCUCCUCGAUGAUGCAGGCGGCGCCGGCGCUGGAGGCGAUGAUGCUGCCCCGCUCGCCGGCCGUGCUCGAGCCCCUCAAUCCCCUCCUCGAGCCCCUCGAUCUCCUCCCUCCUCCGGGACACGGAUGUGCUGCUCCUGUCCCUCGACGACGCGGCCGUCCUCCUCGGCGAUCUCGUGGCCGACAGCGGUGGCGAAGUCCACGGGCAGGUCAGCGGGGCGGUGGGAGAGCGCGGCCAGGGCCUCGCUGUUGGGGAACGUAG